CCUACGGGUGGCAGCAGUGGGGAAUAUUGCACAAUGGGGGAAACCCUGAUGCAGCGACGCCGCGUGAGUGAAGAAGUAUUUCGGUUCGUAAAGCUCUAUCAGCAGGGAAGAUAAUGACGGUACUUGACUAAGAAGCCCCGGCUAACUACGUGCCAGCAGCCGCGGUAAUACGUAGGGGGCAAGCGUUAUCCGGAUUUACUGGGGGUAAAGGGAGCGUAGAAGGCUGCGCAAGUCAGGAGUGAAAUGCCGGGGCCCAACCCGGGGACGGCCCUGGAAACUGUGAAGCUGGAGUGCAGGAGAGGUAAGUGGAAUUCCUGGUGUAGCGGUGAAAUGCGUAGAUAUCAGGAGGAACACCGGCGGCGAAGGCGGCUUACUGGACUGUAACUGACGUUGAGGCACGAAGGCGUGGGGAGCAAACAGGAUUAGAUACCCCUGUAGUC
rnacentral:rRNA from 1 species